rnacentral:lncRNA from 10 species
AAUAAAAUUUCUGUUUGUAAUCAACCUAAUAUAAAUUCAACACACAAUUAAGAUUUAGGAAUGUGUAACACCCCAAGGCUCUUAAUUUUCAAAAGUCACAAAACUAUGUUUACUCAAAUGGUUUGACAUUAUUUAAAAAUUGGAUUCUAUCUUAUUCUCUUGAGGAAAUUUUUGGGUAGUUAGAAGUUUUGACAUAAUUAAUUUCUGAAUAUUUCACAUUUAUCUUUCAGAUUUUCCUGACAUCAAUGUAUCCUUUUGAGUAUAUUAUCGUAUCUCUUAACAUUUCUGUUUCAUCCUUGACCUGAGACUUUUUUUUUUUUUUUUAAUCUUGAGAUAAUUCUUGGCUUUGUCAAGGCUACUGGUGACAAAAGCAUUAGCAAGCAGGUGCAGAGUGCUUUUUCCACCAAAGAAGAGACAUUGUACUCUUUUUGGGGUUAUAUUAAUGACUAAUUCACCUCUCUGUCCUCCUCAAUGCCAUCUGUCUUUUGUUUGGUCUCCCUGAUGUUAGUCACGAAGUCUGCUUAGAAGGAUUUAUGUCUUACUUUGAUAUAGGUUCUAUACUCAAUGCUAGGGAACAAUCAUUGGCAAGAUGUGUCUCCUUUACUCAAAGAGGUUUUAAUGGUCUAUGUUUGGAAAAGAGACAUACAGUCAUUAGAAUGCAAUAUUGUGAAAGUUGACAAGGGAAAUUCUUGGGGUUAUGGGAAUCUUCAAUAUCUUUAUUGAGAAAUACAGAUAUACACAUUUAUCAAAACUCAUAAAAUGAUGAAUUUGUAGUAUUUUAUUGUGUAUAAAUUAUGCCUCAAUAAAAGUUCAUUGUAAUGUGCUGAAAGAA